GGAUGACUUGUGGAUAGCGGAGAAAUUCCAAUCGAACUCGGAGAUAGCUGGUUCUCCCCGAAAUAGCUUUAGGGCUAGCGUUGUGUUAGUUUACCGGAGGUAGAGCACUGAAUUGGCUAAGGGGCGAUGAGCUUACUGAACCUUAUCAAACUUCGAAUGCCGGAUAAAUGGUGCACAGCAGUCAGACAGUGUGAGAUAAGUUUCAUUGUCAAGAGGGAAACAGCCCAGACCCACAGCUAAGGUCCCAAAUGAACGCUAAGUGGAAAACGAUGUGGGGUUGCAAAAACAACCAGGAUGUUGGCUUAGAGGCAGCCACUCAUUAAAAGAGUGCGUAAUAGCUCACUGGUCGAGUGACCCUGCGCGGAAAAUAUAACGGGGCUAAGCGUCCAACCGAAGCUUGGGAUGUCUAAGGACAUGGUAGGGGAGCGUCGUGUAUAGGGAGAAGCAUGAGCGAGAGCACAUGUGGACAGUACACGAGUGAGAAUGCCGGAAUGAGUAGCGAGAAUUAUGUGGGAAUCAUAAUGGCCGAAAAUCUAAGGUUUCUUGGGGAAGGUUCGUCCGCCCAAGGUAAGCCGGGAGCUAAGGCGAGGCCGAAAGGCGUAGUCGAUGCACAUACGGUUGAAAUUCCGUAGCCGCCGAAAUUGUUAAGCACAGGGACACAUAGAGAUAUCCGAACCCGGGCGUUGGUUGACCCGGGCGCAAGGGACCGAACAUCAGUAGGGAAGUCGGAGAUGCUCUGUGGCGAGAAAAGCUGUGUGUAUUGAUUAGGCGCCCGUACCGCAAACCGACACAGGUAGAUGAGGAGAGAAUCCUAAGGCCAACGGGAGAAGGGUUGUUAAGGAACUCGGCAAAUUGACCCCGUAACUUCGGAAGAAGGGGAGCCCCCUACGGGGGGUCGCAGAGAAAUGGCCCAAGCAACUGUUUACCAAAAACACAGGUCUAUGCUAAAUCGAAAGAUGACGUAUAUGGGCUGACGCCUGCCCGGUGCCGGAAGGUUAAGAGGAGAUGUCAGGCAACGAAGCAUUGAAUUUAAGCCCCGGUAAACGGCGGCCGUAACUAUAACGGUCCUAAGGUAGCGAAAUUCCUUGUCAGGUAAGUUCUGACCCGCACGAAUGGCGUAAUGAUUUGGGCACUGUCUCAACAGCCCGCCCGGCGAAAUUGUAGUACUGGUGAAGAUGCCAGUUACCCGCAACUAGACGGAAAGACCCCAUGGAGCUUUACUGCAGCUUAAUACUGAAAUUCGGUAGUACAUGUACAGGAUAGGUGGGAGACUGAGAAAUACAGGCGUCAGCUUGUAUGGAGUCGCUGUUGGGAUACCACUCUUGUACUGCUGGGUUUCUAACCUGCGGCCGUGAAUCCGGUCGGGGGACACUGUUAGGCGGGCAGUUUGACUGGGGCGGUCGCCUCCCAAAAGGUAACGGAGGCGCUCAAAGGUUCGUUCAGCACGGACGGAAAUCGUGCAAUGAGUGUAAACGCAUAAACGAGCCUAACUGCGAGACCGACGGGUCGAGCAGUAACGAAAGUUGGAGUUAGUGAUCCGGUGGUAUGUGAGUGGAAAUGCCAUCGCUCAACGGAUAAAAGCUACCCUGGGGAUAACAGGCUGAUCUCCCCCAAGCGUCCACAGCGACGGGGAGGUUUGGCACCUCGAUGUCGGCUCGUC
rnacentral:rRNA from 1 species